UACGUAGGAGGCGAGCGUUGUCCGGAUUUAUUGGGCGUAAAGAGCUCGUAGGCGGUCUGUCGCGUCUGCUGUGAAAACUCGGGGCUUAACCCCGGGCCUGCAGUGGGUACGGGCAGACUGGAGUACUGCAGGGGAGACUGGAAUUCCUGGUGUAGCGGUGGAAUGCGCAGAUAUCAGGAGGAACACCGGUGGCGAAGGCGGGUCUCUGGGCAGUAACUGACGCUGAGGAGCGAAAGCGUGGGGAGCGAACAGG
rnacentral:rRNA from 1 species